GCCGGGCGCGGUGGCGCGUGCCUGUAGUCCCAGCUACUCGGGAGGCUGAGGUGGGAGGAUCGCUUGAGCCCAGGAGUUCUGGGCUGUAGUGCGCUAUGCCGAUCGGGUGUCCGCACUAAGUUCGGCAUCAAUAUGGUGACCUCCCGGGAGCGGGGGACCACCAGGUUGCCUAAGGAGGGGUGAACCGGCCCAGGUCGGAAACGGAGCAGGUCAAAACUCCCGUGCUGAUCAGUAGUGGGAUCGCGCCUGUGAAUAGCCACUGCACUCCAGCCUGAGCAACAUAGCGAGACCCCGUCUCU
rnacentral:SRP_RNA from 10 species